rnacentral:tRNA from 1 species
GGUAAGGUGGCUCAGUGGUAGAGUACUUGCCUUGCAUGCAUGAGGCCCUGGGUUUGAUUCCUCAGCACCA